UCGUGUAGGGGGAUGGUUUAUGGGUAGCUUAGAGAAAAAGGAUGAAGAAAAGAAGUGGAUGGGAAGGAAGGAGAGGAGAAGGGAGAGGAGUAGAAUGGGUGGAGAAAGGGGAGGAGGAGAAAGGAGGGAGAAAGAAGAGGAGGAGAAAGAAGAGGAGGAGAAAUGGAUAAAAAAGAAGGACAGGAAGAGAAAAGAGAGAAGGAAGAAGGAAAAAGAGAGACACCGGCCAUGGAGAG
rnacentral:lncRNA from 1 species